rnacentral:tRNA from 1 species
UCCGGGAUCCUCCAAUGGCAGGCCAAUGGACUUUGAAUCCAUGAAUCGAGGUUCGAACCCUCGUCCCGGAACCA